GCUGAGGGCGGGGCCCCGGGCCACGUGGGCACAGCCAGCUGUUUCUAUUGGCUGCUGUGAGGUCGCCUAGGAGACGGCGAAGCUUCCAGGCACCUUAUGACGUAGUCAGAAGUUCCUGGACUUGCCCCUUCAGCUCGGCAGUCAUUUAUUGAGUGCUUACUGUGUGCUAGAGCUCUGGGACUCUCUUCCCACUCUCCCAUUUUACAGAUUAGAAAAACAAGGCCCAGAAGAGAGAAGUGACUUGGCCUGGAUUCAGAGUCUCUAACUGUCGUACUACGGAAUAAUAACUGGCUGCAGUCCUGUCCAGAUUCCUCAGGCAUCCCAAGGUGGCAGCCUCUUCGUCCUCAUCCCUUCCACUCUGCUUCAAGGUCUUUGAACAAAGAGUUGAAGGGCCUGACCCUCUAGCUGAAUAAACACCUCACCUAACCCUGUGUGACCCUCAGUUUUCUCAUCUGCAAAAUGGGAAGAAUAAUAAAUGCACUGGUUAAUCUCUGA